rnacentral:rRNA from 1 species
UGGAUCCAGACUUUGAUCCUGGCUCAGGAUGAACGCUGGCGGCGUGCCUAACACAUGCAAGUCGAACGAAGCUUGACGGAUGAUUUCUUCGGAAUGAAACCUGAUAUGACUUAGUGGCGGACGGGUGAGUAACACGUGAGCAACCUGCCUUUCAGAGGGGGAUAACGGCUGGAAACGGUCGCUAAUACCGCAUGAUGUGUUCGGAUGGCAUCAUCUGAACAUCAAAGAUUUAUCGCUGAAAGAUGGGCUCGCGUCUGAUUAGAUAGUUGGUGGGGUAACGGCCUACCAAGUCUACGAUCAGUAGCCGGACUGAGAGGUUGAACGGCCACAUUGGGACUGAGAUACGGCCCAGACUCCUACGGGAGGCAGCGGAGGGGAAUAUUGCACAAUGGGGGAAACCCUGAUGCAGCAACGCCGCGUGAAGGAUGACGGUUUUCGGAUUGUAAACUUCUUUUCUUAGUGACGAAGACAGUGACGGUAGCUAAGGAAUAAGCAUCGGCUAACUACGUGCCAGCAGCCGCGGUGAUACGUAGGAUGCAAGCGUUAUCCGGAUUUACUGGGUGUAAAGGGAGCGCAGGCGGGACUGCAAGUUGGAUGUGAAAUACCGUGGCUUAACCACGGAACUGCAUCCAAAACUGUAGUUCUUGAGUGAAGUAGAGGCAAGCGGAAUUCCGAGUGUAGCGGUGAAAUGCGUAGAUAUUCGGAGGAACACCAGUGGCGAAGGCGGCUUGCUGGGCUUUAACUGACGCUGAAGCUCGAAAGUGUGGGGAGCAAACAGGAUUAGAUACCCUGGUAGUCCACACUGUAAACGAUGAUAGCUAGGUGUGGGGGGUCUGACCCCUUCCGUGCCGGAGUUAACGCAAUAAGCUAUCCACCUGGGGAGUACGACCGCAAGGUUGCAACUCAAAUGAAUUGACGGA